rfam:Ovis aries breed Texel chromosome 14, whole genome shotgun sequence.
UCCCUGGUAGUUUAGACGGUAAAGAACCUGCCUGCAAUGCGGGAGACCCAGGUUUGAUUCCUGGGUAGGGAA